rnacentral:rRNA from 1 species
AACGAAUGCUGGCGGCGUGCCUAACACAUGCAAGUCGAACGCGAAAGUCCUUCGGGAUGACUAAAGUGGCGCACGGGUGAGUAACACGUAGGUGACCUGCCUUUUAAUGGGGAAUAACCAGAUGAAAAUUUGGCUAAUGCCGCAUACGAAGCACAAAACUAAGAGUAGUGCUUGAAAGAAUGCCUCUGUAUAUGCAUUCGUUAAGAGAUGGGCCUGCGGUACAUUAGCUAGUUGGUGGGGUAAAGGCCUACCAAGGCAACGAUGUAUAUCCGGUCUGAGAGGAUGAUCGGACACACUGGAACUGAGACACGGUCCAGACUCCUACGGGAGGCAGCAGUGGGGAAUAUUGCGCAAUGGGGGAAACCCUGACGCAGCAACGCCGCGUGAGUGAGGAAGGACUUCGGUCUGUAAAGCUCUGUAUAUGAGGAAAAAUGGCAUCUGGUCUAAUAGGCCGGAUGUUUGAUGGUACUCAUAGAGGAAGCACCGGCUAACUUCGUGCCAGCAGCCGCGGUAAUACGAAGGGUGCAAGCGUUGUUCGGAUUUAUUGGGCGUAAAGCGCGCGUAGGUGGACCUGCAAGUCAGAUGUGAAAUCUCGGGGCUCAACCUCGAAACUGCGUCUGAAACUACAGGUCUAGAGUCUCGGAGGGGGAAGGGGAAUUUCGCAUGUAGGGGUAAAAUCCGUAGAUAUGCGAAGGAACACAGAGGCGAAGGCGCCUUCCAAGGACGAGUACUGACACUGAGGCGCGAAAGCGUCCUGAUCAAACAGGAUUAGAUACCCUG